AUUGAACGCUGGCGGCAUGCCUUACACAUGCAAGUCGAACGGCAGCGGGGGAGAAGCUUGCUUUUCCUGCCGGCGAGUGGCGAACGGGUGAGUAAUACAUCGGAACGUGCCCUGUAGUGGGGGAUAACUAGUCGAAAGAUUAGCUAAUACCGCAUACGACCUGAGGGUGAAAGUGGGGGACCGCAAGGCCUCAUGCUAUAGGAGCGGCCGAUGUCUGAUUAGCUAGUUGGUGGGGUAAAGGCCUACCAAGGCGACGAUCAGUAGCUGGUCUGAGAGCACAUACGGCCAGACUGGGACUGAGUCACGGCCCAGACUCCUACGGGAGGCAGCAGUGGGGAGUUUUGGACAAUGGCCGAAAGCCUGAUCCAGCAAUGCCGCGUGUGUGAAGAAGGCCUACGGGUUAUAAAGCACUUUUGUCCGGAAAGAAAUGGCGCUGGUUAAUACCUGAGGUCGAUGACGGUACCGGAAGAAGAAAGACCGGCUAACUACGUGCCAGCCGCCGCGGUAA
rnacentral:rRNA from 1 species